rnacentral:rRNA from 1 species
AUUGAACGCUGGCGGAAUGCUUUACACAUGCAAGUCGAACGGUAGAGGGGGCAACCCCUCGAGAGUGGCGAACGGGUGAGUAAUAUAUCGGAACGUGCCCAGUCGUGGGGGAUAACGUAGCGAAAGUUACGCUAAUACCGCAUACGAUCUAAGGAUGCAAGCGGGGGAUCGCAAGACCUCGCGCGAUUGGCGCGGCCGAUAUCAGACUAGGUAGUUGGUGGGGUAAAGGCUCACCAAGCCAACGAUCUGUAGCUGGUCUGAGAGGACGACCAGCCACACUGGAACUGAGACACGGUCCAGACUCCUACGGGAGGCAGCAGUGGGGAAUUUUGGACAAUGGACGCGAGUCUGAUCCAGCCAUUCCGCGUGCAGGAUGAAGGCCCUCGGGUUGUAAACUGCUUUUGUACGGAACGAAAAGGUCUCUCUUAAUACGGGGGACUCAUGACGGUACCGUAAGAAUAAGCACCGGCUAACUACGUGCCAGCCGCCGCCGUAA